UUGCUUUUGGUUCAGUGGUAGAAUGCUCGCCUGCCACGCGGGCGCCCCGGUUUCGAUUAAUAUGUAUUAAUACCAUUUUCUCCCUGAUACUAAA